CGCGUUACGUUUUGUUUACUCUUGGCCGCGCGAUCGAUAUCUGCGCUUCCCGUAUCCGCUCUCGACGCUCUCGGGCGAGGAACACUCCCUUUUUCUCCCUCGCACGUACAACGCAGAACGCGGACCCGAGGGAGAUGCCUCCGGGUCCGAGAAUACGUCGUUACUUCCGAAAAUAACGCGACUCUCGACGAGGGAUCGCUCGUAAUCGUUUGCACGAAUUGCGCGAAGUUCGACGACACCUCUGAGCUGGAGGCGACGCCGAGCGAUGUUGUAAGCGAGCGAAGCGAGAGCAGAUUUAGCGGCGCGUCUCCGGGUUAGAAGGCAAAGAGCGUAAACGUGGUAGGCAAGAAGCGCGCGCGCACACUCACGCGUGCUUACGCUGCAGAAAUACUUUCGAUUCGCGGAGAUAACGAAUGCGACGCGAUGAGUGAGAAACAAGCUCUCCUUUGUGUUACUGUAUUUCCAUAAAAGGACCGUGAUUUUCACCGAUUAUCGAGCGUAGUUUCUUUGGAAACUUAUUUUUAGAACUCGAUCUGAUGCAAUUUCUUUGUAAGGUUUACAGCGAUGAACUUCCAAUACGGAGUCUGUAGAAAACUGAGAAAUAUAUACGCCAAGGUCUUUUUCCUUCUGCUAAACACGAGUCAAGGACAAUCUAGAGUAAAAGUGAACCACCCUGUCGAAACACCGUUAAGCCGAUCCGACGAAAUCCAACGCGAUCGCGGCGAUGCUUGCGCGACGCACUUGACGGCGCGAACGACUCACGCAUAAUUACAAUACAAUGACAAGCUUAGCUAGACAUAGUGAAUUUUAAUUCGACCGUGUAAGCGCGGCUUACUGCGCCGCGAGUAAUUCCGACGCAGUAACGGCCGAUCUUCGCUUCGUAAUUGCACGUGCACGUGGCAGCUGAUAAGGAUGUCGAGCUCAUGCUAAAUGAGAGAUACGGGGAGACCCGUGCACGUAAUAAUGUGCAAUCAUAUACUUCACAGACGUCGAAAGUGGGCUCUCGGCGGAUGAAAUAAUUUUCUUCUCGAUAGUAGCAAAGUGCAUGCCGAAAGCACGAUGAGCGAUUCGUCGAUUCACACGUGGAACGCUAUCAUAAAUCAUACGCGUCAAAUAUCGUGGCAAACAAGUGCGACGCGUAUCGUAGAAAUUUACACGCAAAAGACGCAGAAAUUCAGUGUGCAAUGAUGCGCAAUGUUGAUGACGUAAUUUAUAUUUCUCCAGCAGGCAGCAGACUCGCCGCGAUAUUUUCGCGUCGCGAUGUCUCGAUAAACUCGUUCACCAGAGAUGGUGCGUUGACCGAUACGCAAAACAGGAUCCAUUUCUGCGAACGCAACGUGCCCGCGUGUUUCAUCAUGCCUGACAAAUUUCUGCGAUCGUACGAUGAUAACCUUGGAUGAAGCAUUCUCUCCGGGACUCGCGAAUAAUAAAUAUUAACACUUGAGACGAGAUAACACUGUGAGAGCGAGCGUGUAACGUAAAAGGAAACGGGUAAGUGGGUAAUGUUUACUCGCUCCAGUCAGCAGAACUAACAAUAAAUUGGACAGAGGGAUUCUCCAGCCGGGGGGACGAGGCGCGAAAGCUAGGCAAAUCCGGAUGGUGCUUUGUUCUGUUUGGCGAUCGCGAUUGCGGCGCGCCAAACAGAAGGAAAUCCGAGCGUGCGAACCGCGCCGCGGAGGAGCGUCGUGCGAUUAAUUCGCUCUUUAGGAGAAAGGAUGAUCGAGAGUAACGGCGCGCGCGGAGGGACGAGGAGAAGGCACGAGCAAUUUCUGCGUCUCUGCUCGUGGAAAUGAAAGCUGCUCUCAGGAACAGCACGCGGCGCCGGUGAUGCGAUCACAUACAGAGCACGCAUGAGGUUUACUCACGUCUCUAACUCCAUCGUCACCCCUCCAUCUCCCGGAUGAAGGUUUCAGCUCAGCUGUGCUGUAGCACGCGAUUCGCCGGAGAGCCAUGCGAGAGGUGCGUGGACAGAGCGAGGUCAGCUCACGCACGUGCACGUCGUGCGUGGCGCUCAUAUUAUACAUGUACGCUCUUGAUCCGUUUGAUCAUUGGCGUACGCGUCAUUGUGCCGUAAUUGCGAGCUUGCCUAAUCUCGCCAGUUGCUAUAUUUGAACCUUGUGCACGCACUGUUACUAAACGAAAUCUUGAACUUAAAAGAAUUUAGUCGUUUUUAGAUAGCCUAAAAAAAUGUUAAAAUUGGAAUUUCAGCUGCUCUUGUUGCUAUGCUAGAAGUAAGGUAGUCGCAUUUUCACGAUUGAUUUUGUUGCGCGUAAAAGACCGUGCAUAUUUGUUCAGCAAUAUUUUACUUUAUUUCUGCGGAACUUGUACUUUAUAAUUGGAUGUAAUAUAGUGAAUUUACGCAUUUAUUAAUUAAA